UCGAAUAUCGGAUGUCUCUUUUUAACGGUUAAAGCUAGUGCGUCGUACUCUUUAGUUAUCUCAGUGGUCGACGGGAGCUAGAGGACGGUGCCUGUAUCGUUAAGUUAUAAAUAUGUUACGGUCCAAUAUAUCAAAUAAAGACGAUAUUAUCACAAUUUUCAACGGAGAAGACAGUCCUCACGAGGAUUCAGAUUCCAAAGUUGAGGAUGACCAGUUAUCGACGACGUUCAAAACGAGGACGAAAAUUAUGAGAUGUCUGAAUUCGUUGCGUCAUUUCAAGAUCUGAGCCCUCUGAAGAAACUAAUCCAACCAUGAAUGUCAAAAUUAGAGUGUAUAUAAAUGUAAAAAAUCUGUGUGUGGCGAGCACAAGGUUGAUUUAUGUGUAGUUGGUGUAGUCUAUUCCUAAAGUUAAUCUAGUCCUCUAAAAGCUGGUUAGUUGUAAUGUUUGAUCUAAAAAUAUAUAAUUAGCGUAAAAAAAAUUGAUACUCUAUAAAAAUAAUGUAAGUAUGUUUUAGUUGAUUUUGAAGAAGUUAAUAUUUUUGUUCCAAUUUAUGCAUAUUGUUUUUUUUGUUGUAACAAGCACCUGUAAUUAUAAUUAUAAUCGAU